GACGAACCGAGCGAACGUUGUUCGGAAUCACUGGGCUUAAAGGGCGCGUAGGCGGCUUUGCAAGUCCGGGGUGAAAGCCCCCAGCUCAACUGGGGAAGUGCCUCGGAUACUGCAGAGCUUGAGGGAGGUAGGGGCGGAUGGAACUUCCGGUGGAGCGGUGAAAUGCGUUGAUAUCAGAAGGAGCGCCGGUGGCGAAAGCGACGUACUGGACCUCUUCUGACGCUGAGGCGCGAAAGCUAGGGGAGCAAACGGG
rnacentral:rRNA from 1 species